CCACCCCACCCCCUCCUUAUACCAAGCGAGGACUACAGCGUAGGGGCCAUGAGCGCGGGUGAUAAGGAAGGGUCAUCACCGAUGUGUUCAUCGACUCGCCUGAUACUGUACAUGCCUUGCCCGUCUCUCACGCACUCCUCCACCAAAUCUACGCCCGCCGGUGCACGUGCUGUGUCUUGUGCACGCAUGGCUGAGAGACAUUCAAUUCACGUAGAGGCCCUCUCCGAGCCAACCUGUUCUUUUCCUUUCACCGCUUCCACCGGCAUCAGCUCGGCGUGCACGCCCAGGCACACGUGCAGGCAGACGCGAAUCACCCCGCUACCCACCCACUCACCGCCUUUCAGCAUUCCAGUCUAACUUUCCACUCCAGAUGCCCGCAGGGAUGUCCGGCGCCGCUGGAAAGACACUCGCCAACUUCAAGGCGCCGUACCCGGAACCGACGUCGCAGCAGCGCCGCUAUGUGAUCUUCCUCGACCCCAAGGGCUACAGAAAAGAGCUGAACGACUACAAGGUGGAGCUGAUCCCUGGCCGUGUCGAAAAGGUGGAUGGCGCCAACGUAUACCGCAUGGGCGGCAGCAUCGAGGAGAGGACGAUCGAUGGCUGGGGCUACACCUACUACGUCGUGACACUGACGACGAUGUCGGGGACGCUGAUGAUGCCCCUCGGCGAUGCAGCGCUCAAGAGGCCGCGCUUCGUGGCGAUGAGCACGAAUAACCUCUACCGCUACAACAGUCAGUUGCCCAUCGUGGUGUACACGCCGAAGGACGGUGAGUUGCGCUACCGCAUCUGGACCGUCAAGAGCACCGGCAGCGGCACGGCCAAGAGCAUCAACGCUAGGGAGAUGUGAGCGGCCGCGUGCUGCAAGAGCCGCAAGGCCUCCUGUACGUCUGUGUGUCACCAUGUCGUCAUCCCUCUCCCGCAGCGCCUCUCGCGGCUGUGGAGGCGCCGGCCGUCCAUGCCUCCUACCCUUCCUCCCACACAUAUUUCGAAUUCGUUUAUCUCGUGCCUCUCCCCUCCCCCUUCGUUGCCAUGGUCGUUGACCUCAGAGACACGGUUAGUCUGCUCGGUGCGCUUGUGCACAGGUGUUGGACAAAAUCUGGUCUCGCAUGUGCCGCCCCAACAACCCCUCGCCUUGCCUUCGGCCCCUAUCGCCGUCUGACUCUUUCCUGUCCGCUGUCUUCCUCGCCCGCUACACACAUUCGAGACUCGGCCGCCUGGCAUGCAGAAUGACGAAGGGCAGAGAUGGGUGGCGAAGAGGCUGAGGGAGUGCGUUGAUGCGUCUCUGCGUGCGCGUGUGGGCUUGCGUGAUGGCGAGUGGCGGUGAAGACAUGACUACCCACGGGGAGGAGCUGCACACAUGUGCACAGUGUGGCUUCGAACUAUUCUUGAUUGAGCUUGCAUGAUAAUGCAGCUCCACAAACAUACGAAAAAACAAUUGGACCCAUCAGUCACACGUGCAUGUGCGUCUCUGCCUGCGAACGAUCACGAGGCACAAGCAAGCAGCAGGAGAUGGCAGGAAGUGCCACGUGUCU
rnacentral:misc_RNA from 1 species